AAGUCGAGCGGACAGAUGGGAGCUUGCUCCCUGAUGUUAGCGGCGGACGGGUGAGUAACACGUGGGUAACCUGCCUGUAAGACUGGGAUAACUCCGGGAAACCGGGGCUAAUACCGGAUGGUUGUUUGAACCGCAUGGUUCAGACAUAAAAGGUGGCUUCGGCUACCACUUACAGAUGGACCCGCGGCGCAUUAGCUAGUUGGUGAGGUAACGGCUCACCAAGGCRACGAUGCGUAGCCGACCUGAGAGGGUGAUCGGCCACACUGGGACUGAGACACGGCCCAGACUCCUACGGGAGGCAGCAGUAGGGAAUCUUCCGCAAUGGACGAAAGUCUGACGGAGCAACGCCGCGUGAGUGAUGAAGGUUUUCGGAUCGUAAAGCUCUGUUGUUAGGGAAGAACAAGUGCCGUUCAAAUAGGGCGGCACCUUGACGGUACCUAACCAGAAAGCCACGGCUAACUACGUGCCAGCAGCCGCGGUAAUACGUAGGUGGCAAGCGUUGUCCGGAAUUAUUGGGCGUAAAGGGCUCGCAGGCGGUUUCUUAAGUCUGAUGUGAAAGCCCCCGGCUCAACCGGGGAGGGUCAUUGGAAACUGGGGAACUUGAGUGCAGAAGAGGAGAGUGGAAUUCCACGUGUAGCGGUGAAAUGCGUAGAGAUGUGGAGGAACACCAGUGGCGAAGGCGACUCUCUGGUCUGUAACUGACGCUGAGGAGCGAAAGCGUGGGGAGCGAACAGGAUUAGAUACCCUGGUAGUCCACGCCGUAAACGAUGAGUGCUAAGUGUUAGGGGGUUUCCGCCCCUUAGUGCUGCAGCUAACGCAUUAAGCACUCCGCCUGGGGAGUACGGUCGCAAGACUGAAACUCAAAGGAAUUGACGGGGGCCCGCACAAGCGGUGGAGCAUGUGGUUUAAUUCGAAGCAACGCGAAGAACCUUACCAGGUCUUGACAUCCUCUGACAAUCCUAGAGAUAGGACGUCCCCUUCGGGGGCAGAGUGACAGGUGGUGCAUGGUUGUCGUCAGCUCGUGUCGUGAGAUGUUGGGUUAAGUCCCGCAACGAGCGCAACCCUUGAUCUUAGUUGCCAGCAUUCAGUUGGGCACUCUAAGGUGACUGCCGGUGACAAACCGGAGGAAGGUGGGGAUGACGUCAAAUCAUCAUGCCCCUUAUGACYUGGGCUA
rnacentral:rRNA from 1 species